rnacentral:lncRNA from 1 species
CUUCCGGAGACAUAAUCCUUUGUGUGGCACCUUGUUCUGAGAGUAACUGAACAAGAAGAGGUGUCAUGCAAAGGAUUAUGUGGCUGCACAAUGGAAGACGUCAGCAUGUCCUCAUUAGAUCCCAAGGACCCUGGUGUUCCUUACCCCCCAGACAGAGAUGUUCUUCACUUGCUUGCUGUCUCUGUGUGGAAAUGUUCAAACCCCACUUAUCUUCAUUGCUGUGGCCUUCUGGAGAGUCCCUCCAUUCUUCCAAGGAUGAUUUUUAUACUCUUUUGAGGUAGUCUAUUUCAUUCGGUGAUGGGGAAGAGGAAGCAAUUCACGUCUAGAUUGCAGCCAUGUUUACCCGGAAAAAAAGUAAGUUGUUUUUUUUUUUUAAGGUAAAAGACAAA